CCCCUCCUUGAGCUACCACCUUACCGUGGUGGAGGGGUUUGUGUGUCCCAAUGAUCCCAGGAGCUAUGUUGUCAGGGCUUUAUGCCUCUGAAAGGUCAACCAAGGCAAACAGGUCCUGGGGGAGGGACCAGACUAAGAGUAGCUCAUCCAGACAGAGGUGCCAGGCAAAAAAAUAGGGAAAAAAAAACUGAAGAAAACAAACUAAAGAAAACAAAAAAGACAAAACAAUAGUAUUUCUGAGAAUAAACAACUUUAAAAAAACUUAAAAAAAAACUAAAAAAAAGACUUAAAACAAGAAGAAAAAAAACUAAAGAAAACUACAAAAAGAAGAAAAAGAAUGGUAUUUCUAAAAAAACUUGAAAAAACACUAAAAAAAUUUAAAAAGGCAGAAAAAACUAAAUAAUAGUAAAAAAAGGAGAAAGAAUAGUAUAACCAAAAUAAAAAAACAGAAAGAAAAGUAUUACUUUAAAAAACACUAAAUAUAUAUAUAUAAAUAUAUAUAUAUAUAUAUAUAUAUAUAUAUAACAAAAAACUAAAAAAACAAAAAAAAACUUAAAACAGGCAGAAAAAAAUAAAGAAAACUAAAAAAGAGAAAGAAUAGUAUAAACAAAAUAAAAAACAGAAAGAAAAGUUUAUCUAAAAAAAAUACUUUAAAUAUAUAUAACAAAACAAUUAAAAUAAACUUUGAACAGGCAGAAAAACAACUAAAGAAAACUAAAAAAAGAGAUAGAAUAGUAUAAACAAAAUAAAAAAAUCAGAACGAAAAGUACAUCUGAAAAAAACACUUUAAAUAUAAAUAUAUAACAAAAAAAACUUAAAACAGGCAGAAAAAACUAAAGAAAACUAAAAAAAGAGAAAGAAUAGUAUAAACAAAAUAAAAAAUAGAAAGAAAAGUAUUUCUGAAAAAAAAAAUCUAAAUAUAUAAAUAACAAAAAAAAACUUAAAACAGGCAGAAAAAAAUAAAGAAAACUAAAAAAGGAGAAAUAAUAGUAUAAACAAAAUAAAAAAAACAGAAAGAAAAGUUUAUCUAUAAAAAACUUUAAAUAUAUAUAUAUAACAAAAAACUAAAAUAAACGUUAUACAGGCAGAAAAACAACUAAAGAAAACUAAAAAAAGAGAAAGAAUAGUAUGAACAAAAUAAAAAAAUCAAAAAGAAAAGUUUAUCUAAAAAAAACUUUAAAUAUAUAUAUAACAAAAAACUAAAAUAAACUUUAAACAGGCAGAAAAACAACUAAAGAAAACAAAAAGAAGAGAAAGAAUAGUAUAAACAAAAUUAAAAAAUCAAAAAGAAAAGUAUAUCUAAACAACACUUUAAAUAUAUAUAUAACAAAAAACAAAAAAAAACUUAAAACAGGCAGAAAAAAAACUAAAGAAAACUAGAAAAAAGAAGUAAAAGAAUAGUAUUUGUAAAAAAAAAGACUAAAAAAAAGAAACAUAACAGUAUUUCUGAAAAAAAAACUUAAAACAGGCAGAAAAAUAAAAAAUAUAUAUAGGAAACUAAAAACAAAGAAAAGUAUUUUUGAAAAAAAAAAAAAAACCCACACUAAACACUAAACCGGGUGUUUUGCACAGAAAAAAAAAACCCUUGCGGUUUUUCCCUCUCAUGUGAGGGUUUUUUCCCCUCCUUGAGCUACCACCUUAUCAUGGUGGAGGGGUUUGUGUGUCCCAAUGAUCCCAGGAGCUAUGUUGUCAGGGCUUUAUGCCUCUGAAAGGUCACCCAAGGCAAACAGGUCCUGGGGGAGAGACCAGACUAAGAGUAGCUCAUCCAGACAGAGGUGCCAGGCAAGAAAAAUAGGAAAAAAGAAAAACUGAAGAAAACAAACUAAAGAAAACAAAAAGACAAAAGAAUAGUAUUUCUGAAAAUAAACAACUUUAAAAAAUAUUUUUUAAAAACUAAAAAAAAAACUUAAAACAGGCAGAAAAAAAACUAAAGACAACUACAAAAAGAAGAAAAAGAAUAGUAUUUGUAAAAAGAAAAGACUAAAAGAAAAAGAAACAUAACAGUAUUUCUAAAAAAAAACUUAAAACAGGCAGAAAAAUAAAAAAGAUAUAUUGGAAACUAAAGAAAAGAAAAGUAUUUCUGGAAAAAAUAAAAAAAACUGAAAACAGGCAAAAAAAACUAAAGAAAACUAAAACAAGGGAAAGAACAGUAUAAACAAAAUAGAAAAAACAGAAAGAAAAGUAUAUCUGAAAAAAACACUUUAAAUAUAUAUAAAUAACAAAAAACUAAAAAUAACUAAAAACAGGCAGAAAAAAACUAAAGAAAACUAAAAAAAAGAGAAAAAAUAGUAUAAACAAAAUAAAAAAAAGAAAGUAAAGUUUAUCUGAAAAAAACACUUUAAAUACAUAUAUAUAUAUAUAUAUAUAUAAAUAAAAAAAACUAAAAACAGGCUGAAAAAAACUAAAGAAAACUUAAAAAAGAGAAAGAAUAGUAUAAAUAAAAUAAAAAAACAGAAAGAAAAAUAUAUCUGAAAAAAAACACUUUAAAUAUAUAUAUAAUAAAAAAAGCUAAAAAAAAAUUAAAACAGGCAGAAAAAUAAAAAAGAUAUAUAGGAAACUAAAAACAAAGAAAAGUAUUUUUGAAAAAAAAAACAAACAAAAAAAACCCCACCCUAAACCGGGUGUUUCGCACAGAAAAAAAAACCCUUGCGGUUUUUCCCUCUCAUGUGAGGGUUUUUUCCCCUCCUUGAGCUACCACCUUACCGUGGUGGAGGGGUUUGUGUGUCCCAAUGAUCCCAGGAGCUAUGUUGUCAGGGCUUUAUGCCUCUAAAAGGUCACCCAAGGCAAACAGGUCCUGGGGGAGAGACCAGACUAAGAGUAACUCAUCCAGACAGAGGUGCCAGGCAAGAAAAAUAGGAAAAAAAAACUGAAGAAAACAAACUAAAGAAAACAAAAAGACAAAACAAUAGUAUUUCUGAAAAUAAACAACUUUAAAAAAUAUUUUUUAAAAACUAAAAAAAAAAACUUAAAACAGGCAGAAAAAAAACUAAAGACAACUACAAAAAGAAGAAAAAGAAUAGUAUUUGUAAAAAAAAAAGACUAAAAGAAAAAGAAACAUAACAGUAUUUCUAAAAAAAAAAACUUAAAACAGGCAGAAAAAUAAAAAAGAUAUAUUGGAAACUAAAGAAAAGAAAAGCAUUUCUGGAAAAAAUAAAAAAAACUGAAAACAGGCAAAAAAAACUAAAGAAAACUAAAACAAGAGAAAGAACAGUAUAAACAAAAUAGAAAAAACAGAAAGAAAAGUAUAUCUGAAAAAAAACACUUUAAAUAUAUAUAAAUAACAAAAAAACUAAAAAUAACUAAAAACAGGCAGAAAAAAACUAAAGAAAACUAAAAAAAGAGAAAAAAUAGUAUAAACAAAAUAAAAAAAAGAAAGUAAAGUUUAUCUGAAAAAAACACUUUAAAUACACAUAUAUAUAUAUAUAAAAAUAAAAAAAACUAAAAACAGGCUGAAAAAAACUAAAGAAAACUUAAAAAAGAGAAAGAAUAGUAUAAAUAAAAUAAAAAAACAGAAAGAAAAAUAUAUCUGAAAAAAAACACUUUAAAUAUAUAUAUAACAAAAAAAGCUAAAAAAAAAUUAAAACAGGCAGAAAAAUAAAAAAGAUAUAUAGGAAACUAAAAACAAAGAAAAGUAUUUUUGAAAAAAAAAACAAACAAAAAAAACCCCACCCUAAACCGGGUGUUUCGCACAGAAAAAAAAACCCUUGCGGUUUUUCCCUCUCGUGAGGGUUUUUUCCCCUCCUUGAGCUACCACCUUAUCGUGGUGGAGGGGUUUGUGUGUCCCAAUGAUCCCAGGAGCUAUGUUGUCAGGGCUUUGUGCCUCUGAAAGGUCACCCAAGGCAAACAGGUCCAGGGGGAGAGACCAGACUAAGAGUAGCUCAUCCAGACAGAGGUGCCAGGCAAAAAAAUAGGAAAAAAAAAACCUGAAGAAAACAAACUAAAGAAAACAAAAAAGACAAAAGAAUACUAUUUCUGAGAAUAAACAACUUUAAAAAAUUUAAAAAGAAACUAAAAAAAAGACUUAAAACAGGCAGAAAAAAACCAAAGACAACUACAAAAAGAGAAAAAAGAAUAGUAUUUCUAAAAAAAACUUGAAAAAAACUAAAAAAAAACUUAAAACAGGCAG
rnacentral:lncRNA from 1 species